AGCUUUAGGAAAUUAGUCUAAAGUCAAACCUGCCCAAUGUCAAUGUUAUGAAUGGCCGCGGUACUUUGACCGUGCUAAGGUAGCGCAAUCAAUUGGCUUUUAAUUGAGGCCAGGUAUGAAUGGAAUCACGGUAUUUAGCUGUCUCUAAAUUAAUCUAUUGAAAUUACUAUUUAGGUGAAAAAGCCUAAAAAAAGAAGAAAGACGAGAAGACCCUUAGAGUUUCUCUAAAUUUAGCAACAUUGCUAAAACAGUUUAGUUGGGGCAACAUUGGAACAAUAUUUAACCUCCAAAAAUUACAAACCGAUAAUUAUAAAUAUGAAUAAACUACCUUAGGGAUAACAGCAUAAUUUUAUAAAUAAGUUUGUGACCUCGAUGUUGGACUAGGAACCUAAUAGACUAACCGUUUUUUAGUAAAGUUCUGUUCGAACUAAAAUUUCCU
rnacentral:rRNA from 1 species